rnacentral:rRNA from 1 species
AACGAACGCUGGCGGCAGGCCUAACACAUGCAAGUCGAGCGCCCCGCAAGGGGAGCGGCGGACGGGUGAGUAACGCGUGGGAACGUACCUUUUACUUCGGAAUAGCCUCGGGAAACUGGGAGUAAUACCGAAUGUGCCCUACGGGGGAAAGAUUUAUCGGCAAAAGAUCGGCCCGCGUUGGAUUAGGUAGUUGGGGGGGUAAUGGCCUACCAAGCCGACGAUCCAUAGCUGGUUUGAGAGGAUGAUCAGCCACACUGGGACUGAGACACGGCCCAGACUCCUACGGGAGGCAGCAGUGGGGAAUCUUAGACAAUGGGCGCAAGCCUGAUCUAGCCAUGCCGCGUGAGCGAUGAAGGCCUUAGGGUUGUAAAGCUCUUUCGUGGGGGAAGAUAAUGACUGUACCCCAAGAAGAAGCCCCGGCUAACUCCGUGCCAGCCGCCGCGGUAA